UGGGGAAUUUUGCGCAAUGGGCGAAAGCCUGACGCAGCAACGCCGCGUGGAGGAUGAAGGUCCUCGGAUCGUAAACUCCUGUCAGUAGGGACGAAUGCCUCGCAAGAGGUUUGACUGUACCUGCUGAGGAAGCCACGGCUAACUCCGUGCCAGCAGCCGCGGUAAUACGGAGGUGGCAAGCGUUGUUCGGAAUUACUGGGCGUAAAGGGCGCGUAGGCGGCUUUACAAGUCAGAUGUGAAAGCCCCGGGCUUAACCCGGGAAUUGCAUCUGAAACUGUUUAGCUUGAGUCCUGGAGGGGGUAGUGGAAUUCCCAGUGUAGCGGUGAAAUGCGUAGAUAUUGGGAGGAACACCUGCGGCGAAGGCGGCUACCUGGACAGUGACUGACGCUGAGGCGCGAAAGCUAGGGGAGCGAACGGG
rnacentral:rRNA from 1 species